AGGAAGAGGAAUGUUUAUUUUUUUGAUAAUAUUCGGGAAUGAACUUCCCAAAACUAAAAAAAACUAUUCAUUUAUGUAUUAUAUGCCUACCGGGCGUUGGAACCUUAUUUCGACACUUGUUUAAGUGGGACCGCAAUUAGUGUUGCACGCUUUGCUCUCGGAGAGCGCGGGAGAGUUGCGUCAGCCUCAGUCGGAGUCCAGCCGCUGACGGGGAAAGACGUGUAAAAGUUUCUCCUGCAAUUGUGUUUGCAUUGUGUGUGUGAAAGGAGAGGAAAGCGUGGAGAGUUUCUUAUUGAGUGUCCCACAUGUGUUUCAGGUAUGUUUCAUGUAAAACUGUUAUGUGUGAAUCUUUUUAUGAUGUUUUAGCAUUUUGCUUGUUCUCAAAAAAUGUAUAAUUGACUAUCUGAAUCUAAAUUCUGCUUGUAUGUAAUUGUGUGUUGCGUGGUGAAUAAGCCUAAUUGUUUGAGAACAUUAAUUGCUGUUUUUUUGGGAAUAUAAAUUUGAUUUUGCACUUCGAGUACAAUUGUAAAGAGCAACACCACUUAUUUUCACUUUAUUUUUAUUUCAUUUAAACAAAUACAUAUUUUUCAUGAGUAUUAUUGUACAGUGUUAUACAGUCAGCCUCAGUCGGAGUCCAGCCGCUGACGGGGAAAGACGUGUAAAAGUUUCUCCUGCAAUUGUGUUUGCAUUGUGUGUGUGAAAGGAGAGGAAAGCGUGGAGAGUUUCUUAUUGAGUGUCCCACAUGUGUUUCAGGGACCAAUAAAUACAUGACGCAAAGCUG